rnacentral:rRNA from 1 species
UACGUAGGGUGCGAGCGUUAAUCGGAAUUACUGGGCGUAAAGCGUGCGCAGGCGGUCGGGUGUGUCAGAUGUGAAAUCCCGAGGCUCAACCUCGGAACUGCGUCUGAAACUACUCGACUAGAGUACUGGAGAGGGUAACGGAAUUCACGGUGUAGCAGUGAAAUGCGUAGAUAUCGUGAGGAACACCAGAGGCGAAGGCGGUUACCUGGACAGUUACUGACGCUCAGGCACGAAAGCAUGGGGAGCAAAAGGG